CCUACGGGGGGCUGCAGUGGGGAAUAUUGGACAAUGGGGGCAACCCUGAUCCAGCCAUGCCGCGUGUGUGAAGAAGGCCCUCGGGUUGUAAAGCACUUUCAGUGAGGAAGAACGCCUGGUGGUUAAUACCCAUCAGGAAAGACAUCACUCACAGAAGAAGCACCGGCUAACUCCGUGCCAGCAGCCGCGGUAAUACGGAGGGUGCGAGCGUUAAUCGGAAUUACUGGGCGUAAAGCGCGCGUAGGUGGCUUGAUAAGCCGGUUGUGAAAGCCCCGGGCUCAACCUGGGAACGGCAUCCGGAACUGUCAAGCUAGAGGGCAGGAGAGGAAGGUAGAAGUCCCGGUGUAGCGGUGAAAUGCGUAGAGAUCGGGAGGAAUACCAGUGGCGAAGGCGGCCUUCUGGACUGACACUGACACUGAGGUGCGAAAGCGUGGGUAGCAAACAGGAUUAGAUACCCUGGUAGUC
rnacentral:rRNA from 1 species